UGGGGAAUAUUGGACAAUGGGCGCAAGCCUGAUCCAGCCAUGCCGCGUGAUUGUUAAAGGCCCUAGGGUUGUAAAGCUCUUUCACCGGUGAAGAUAAUGACGGUAACCGGAGAAGAAGCCCCGGCUAACUUCGUGCCAGCAGCCGCGGUAAUACGAAGGGGGUUAGCGUUGUUCGGAUUUACUGGGCGUAAAGCGCACGUAGGCGGAACUUUAAGUCAGGGGUGAAAUCCUGGGGCUCAACCCAGGAAAUGCCUUUGAUACUGGAAGUCUUGAGUAUGGUAGAGGUGAGUGGAAUUCCGAGUGUAGAGGUGAAAUUCGUAGAUAUUCGGAGGAACACCAGUGGCGAAGGCGGCUCAAUGGACCAUUACUGACGCUGCGGUGCGAAAGCGUGGGGAGCAAACAGG
rnacentral:rRNA from 1 species